GGAGAUAUUCUGUUAUGACCUGGAACAUACAGAUACUAUACUAUACUGUAGGUAUUCUGUUAUGGCCUGGAACAUACAGAUACUAUACUAUACUGUAGGUAUUCUGUUAUGGCCUGGAACAUACAGAUACUAUACUAUACUGUAGGUAUUCUGUGAUGAUACUGUAGUAUUUAAUAUCACUCCCACAUGAUUCUUCCCAAAUGUAGGUGGCAGGUAGCCUUUUGUUUAGAGUGUUGGGCCAGUAACACGGUGAAAAAUAUGUUGUACAGUACAUACCACAGUACAGUACUAUGAAUUGUACACUUGACCUCAUUCGCACUGUUCUCACUGAUCCAGUAUCAAUGAUUCUGACCAUGAAACUCAUGGGCCGUGUUCCGUAUAUGUAUGUUCCACGUCAUAACAGAAUAUCUACAGUAGUAUCUAUAUGUUCCAGGUCAUAACAUAAUAUCUACAGAAGUAUCUGCAUGUUCCACGUCAUAACAUAAUAUCUACAGUACUAUCUGUAUGUUCCA
rnacentral:lncRNA from 1 species